rnacentral:rRNA from 1 species
AGUGAACGCUGGCGGUAGGCCUAACACAUGCAAGUCGAACGGCAGCACAGUAAGAGCUUGCUCUUACGGGUGGCGAGUGGCGGACGGGUGAGGAAUACAUCGGAAUCUACUUUUUCGUGGGGGAUAACGUAGGGAAACUUACGCUAAUACCGCAUACGACCUACGGGUGAAAGCAGGGGAUCUUCGGACCUUGCGCGAUUGAAUGAGCCGAUGUCGGAUUAGCUAGUUGGCGGGGUAAAGGCCCACCAAGGCGACGAUCCGUAGCUGGCCUGAGAGGAUGAUCAGCCACACUGGAACUGAGACGCGGUCCAGACUCCUACGGGAGGCAGCAGUGGGGAAUAUUGGACAAUGGGCGCAAGCCUGAUCCAGCCAUACCGCGUGGGUGAAGAAGGCCUUCGGGUUGUAAAGCCCUUUUGUUGGGAAAGAAAAGCAGCAGGUUAAUACCCCGCUGUUCGGACGGGACCCAAAGAAGAAGCACCGGCUAACUUCGU